CUGAAGGCGGCGAAGCCGCAAGAGCUAUCGAAUGCGCUGUAUGCCCUGGGCAAGCUGCGGGAGGAGCAGCAGCAGCGGGGCUCGGGCUGGGACCCCACCUCAUCGCCGCAUCUGAACGCACUGACCGGCGCUGUGGCCUCGCGGCUGCGUGCGGCGGAGGGGCACGUCUUCAAGCCGCAGGAGCUUUCCAACAGCCUGUGGGCGUGCGCCAAGCUGGGGUACCGAGACUCAGACCUCCUGCUGCCGCUGGCGGAGGCGGCCGCAGCCCUUGCCCCGGACAUGAAUGCGCAAGAAAUAUCCAACAGCCUGUGGGCGCUUGGGGCCCUGGGCUGCACCGGACCGGCGUUUCGGGCAGUGCUGGAGACGCUGUGUGGUGCGGCGCUGCGGCGGCUCCGGGUACCGGAGAAAUCUGAGGCGUUCAAGCCGCAGCAUCUGUCCAACAUCCUGCUGGCGAUGGAGGGGCUGCAGCUGCGAGGCAUGCAGGCAGAGCUGCUGGCGGCAGCUGUAGCUGCAGAGUGCGUGCGACGGCUCCGGACACCGAUGGGAGCUGAAGCGUUCAAGCCACAGGAGCUGUCCAACAUCCUGCUGGCGCUGGAGGGGCUGCAGCUGCGAGGCAAGCAGUCCGAGCUGCUGGCGGCUGCAGUAGCAGCAGAGGGUGUGCGGCGGGGCUUUGCCGGCUUCAACCCGCAAUGCCUCAGCAACUCGGCGUGGGCCCUGGCUAAGAUGGGGUAUGGGGCCGGUGCAACGUCGCAAGCCACGGAGCAGAGCCAGUGGUACGCGGCCGCGGCGGCAGCAGCUGAGCGGCCCGGGGUCAUGGCCGGCGCCAAGCCGCAGGAGUGGGCCAACCUGUUGUAUGCGCUUGCGUCAGUGCGCCACCAGCCGCCGCCCGCGCUGCUUGACGCAGGCGCCGCGGCGGUGAUGCAGCGAGGCAAUGCACAGGAAUGUGCAAACACGCUUUGGGCUCUGGCGGUGCUGCAGCUGCGUCACGCCGGCUUGGAGGCGGCGGUGUGCGGCCGGCUGGGCGAGCUGCUGCGGCUAGGCCCGGAGUCGCUUGUUGCACAGGAGCUUUGCAACAGCUUGUGGGCGCUGGCGGUGCUGGCAGGCGGCGGUGGCCCUGCUAGCCCGGCUGCCGCUGCGCUGGCCCCGGCGCUUGCCCUUGAGGCCGUGCGGCGGCGUGAGGAGCUCAAUGGAGACGGCUUGAGGCAGCUCUGGCAGGCGCGACAGGAGUUGGGCGGUGAGGUGGCGGAGGCUCUUGCCCGCAGCCCCGACCUGCUAGCCGCGAUGGAGGCGGCGGUGGCUGCCGAACGGGCGACAACGUCGACCACCAGCAGACUGCAGGAGCAGGUGGCAGAGGCGCUUCAGCGACUGCUGCAGAAGGAUCUCCUGCCCAUUGUGUCCGUGCAGACGGAGGUGGUGGUGGAGGGCGUGCUGGGGCGUGUGGACAUUGUGGCGGGCUGGAGGGACGGGCGGAGCGUGGCCAUUGAGGUGGACGGGCCAGACCACUUCCUCACCAACCGGAAGAACGACCCGUCCGCGGCAAUUGGUUCUACGGCCCUACGCAACCGGCAGCUGCGGCGGGCGUUUGGGGAGGGCGGCCUGCUGUGUGUGCCGUACUGGGAGUGGUACGGCCUGAAAACGUCUUCCGCUCAGGAGGCCUACCUGCUGCAGCAGCUGCAGGAUCUGCUAUCGGGCGCUUCGUCAGGAGCAGUAGCAGCAGGGGAAGGCAGCGCCGCCACCCCUCGCCGCAAGCAGGAGCGGACGACUCGGCCGCAGCCAAACACUGCCGGCCGCACCAGCACCAGCACCACCGCUGGCAGCAGCCAGAACAGGCGCGUCCUCGUUGUUGUCCGCAGGAAGGCGCGAAAGCAGCAGGAGGUGGCCUGCGGUGGUGGGGCGGGAGAGGCCUCGGAUGCAACAGUAGCUGCAGCGACGGUACCGGCGGAGGCUGAGGUGGUGGCCCCUGCCGGGCAGCAGCAAACGGAAACGGUGCAGCGGCUUCCGAACAGUGGCGCUGGUGGCGGUGCUGGCGAGGGCGGAGGAGACAGAGCUCCUCUGGCGCCGCAGCCACCACCACCGCAGCAGCCGCGCGUGUCAGCGCCCCGGGCGCGCCGCAGCAGCCGCCAAAGCCCAAGCCGCAGUAUUCAGGCGGGCUCGCCUCCUCCUUCGGUUGAGGCCCCGCCGCCGGAGCAGAUGCAGGCGGCAGCGCCACCCCGGCGGACCGCGGGUGGGAAGCGGACUGUGCGGAAAGCGGCGGCGGCUCCGGCAGCAGGUGGCGGCGGCAGUGACCCCGAGGCGGUGGUGGUGCCGGCCGCGGUCUCUGAAAAGCAGGCGGCGGUGGUGGCUGGGGAGGAGGGCUCAACGUUAGCAGACGUGGAGGGUGGUGGUAGUGGUAGUGGCAGGGGCGGGGGCAGCAGGCGGAGGCGGGCGGUGGGACCGGCAGGCGUGCGGCCUCGUCAAGCCUAGCAGCAGCGAGUGAACGAAAGGGGGCGGGGAGCAGUGACCUGGGUUAGUGGUUGCGGCACAAACGUGCACACGACUUGUGGUUUGCGCAGCGGUUUUCCUUGUGUCUUUUCCCAACGCACGUGUGUAAGGAGCAGUGAAUGCAACAUGCUAAGGCGCGGCGCGACGGGCGUUUGGCGUUGUGUGGUGCGAAUUUGGUGCGGUGCCCAGUACGGUGGGCAUCUGUGGUGACGGUCAGGCAGGUGAGCGGCCGUGAGGCCCAGUAGGGGUGGCCAUACAUGGGGUGCAGCGAGGGGCGGGGCAUGAAGCAGUGGAGUUGGGGCACACACACCAGCUACCUACCGUAGUGACACGUGCACACACGGCGCGUCAAAUGCGCCAAGUUUGAGGCAUGCCGCUUGUGUUUUGUGGGCAGAUGGUAGAGGGCUACGGGUCAGCGGUGGCAGUGGCCGGGGCCUGGGGCUUGUGUGUUGGUGGCGGCUGACGUGACGAGCAGGCGUGACGCUGGGGUGGCGCUGGGGUAGGCGGGGGAGAUGGAGAGACCCCUCCGCGUGUAGCAGGCCAUGGAUGGGCCCGGUUGGCACGAAAUACGCGACGCAGUAUGUGUGUACGGUAUUUGGUGGGGUUAACACCCAUCAGUACCGUACUCCUCCUAGAUGUGGAGGCCGCGAGGCUCACCGCUAGGUGCGUCGUCGGUACAUCAAACUCGUGCCAACAUCUACCUUGGCCCUGGCCCUCGGCCCUGGCCCUCCUCCAAGCCGAAUCUUAUCCAACAUCUCUAUCGUAUUGACUCUGGAAUGGGAAACGGGUGCACGACGGGGGCGGAAUGAGCGGCACUGACAGCCACGGGCAAGAGCGGGGUUGUUAGGCGUCGGCCGGGAGCGAGGUCGCAUGCUGGCGAGCCAUACAGCGAAAUUAGUCUCACACCUGCAUUCCUCACCUUUAACAUCGUUAUACGUAAUACCCCUUUGACCCUUGUUUGUGAUUAUGUCCUUGUUUGUCAUUCGCAGAGCUCAUGCAAGCUCCGUUUGCCUGCACAUGACACCGGACUGGCCCGUUGUUCCUUUCGUCCGAUCAACUUGUCUAUACUUCCAUGUAUAGUAUCAGCUAGCACUUACGUACUACGAGGCACUGUGGGCCUCAGCCUGCUGAGCCUAAAAUGUUACAGUCCGGACGCGGCGCCGCAGCGAGUAGACAUGGCUUAGGCAGCAGCUAUAAUGCUCCAGCAUCAGCACGCACAUGGCAUAGAGUGGCCCAAUGCGGCACACCGCUGACCCUGCCUCGCGCCGCUCGGACCGCCGGGCGCCUCGGCCCGUCGGCGACCGCUGGCGGUGUGGCCCGCGGCCUGGCGUGCAGCUCCGCAACCAGCGGCCCGGCGGCGGCAGUGCUCAGCGGCGGCGGCCCCUGCCUUUCCGCCACCGCACCUGCUACCACAGGGGCUGGCGGCGGUCUGCGGCAGCUACUGCCGCUAGCGGCCUAGGCCCGUCAAGCUGCACCAGCGCCCGCCACUGCCGCUCCUGCAGCAGCCGGGGCGCGCAGCUGUCUCCUGCAGCCGGGGCGGCGCGCGCAGCAUCAGGUGCUGGCGGCUGCGGGGAGGUAUGGCAGUGGCAGCACCAGUGACAAGAGCAGUGGCAGGAGCAGCAGCAGCGCGCGUGGCGGCAUCGGCGGCAGCCGCAGUAGCAGUGACGGUGGCGGCAGGGCGGGCAGGGGCAGGGCAGACAAAGGCCGUUGGGCUGGCGGCGGCGGGCGUGGCAGUGGUGGUGGCGGCAGGCCGCGUGACCCCGAAGACUUGAUGAUCGGGUAUGCGACUCUGGAGGCCCUGCAAGCAGUCAUUGAUCGGCGGCUGGCGGUGUGGUCAGAGCGGCAAGACGUGAGCACUAUGUCAGCUGCCUUCGGCCGUUGUGGCAAGGUGAGAGGUUGGCUUAGGGGCAGUGAAAGGUGUUUGGGUUUGCCUGUAAGCACGUGCGGGCGUUCCUGAUCGCAGUGCGAGAACUGACAACAUUCAACAACAACACGCACCUCCAAGCUUGCUUCUCACCGCCGCCAUAUCAAGUGAUCGGGGUAUCGUCCUUUCCCACUGCCCCCUCCCUUCCCUGCAACUUGAGUCCGCACGUGCCGGCGGGCCCACCGCCACAGCCGCGGCCCGUGCCGGCAUCAUGGCGGCCCUUGCGCCUGCUCUCCUUCCGCUCGUGCCGCGCAUCCGGCAGCCGGCCGACUGCAGCCUUCCGCUGUGGGCGCUGGCGAAGGCUGGGGCUGCCAGUGACGGGCGUGUGGAGUCACAGCUGGCGCCGGCACUGCUGCAGCGGCUGGUGGAUCCAGUGUUGCUGAAGACUGCAACUCCUCAAAACUUGGCGAACGCGCUGUAUGCCCUGGGCAAGCUGCGGGAGCAGCAGCAGCAGCGGGGCUCGGGCUGGGACCCCACCUCGUCGCCGCAUCUGAAUGCGCUAGCGAGCGCUGUGGUCUCGCGUCUGCAUGCGGCGGAGGGGCACGGCUUCAGCGCGCAGGAGCUUUCCAACAGCCUGUGGGCGUGCGCCAAGCUGGGGUACCGAGACUCAGACCUCCUGCUGCCGCUGGCGGAGGCGGCCGCAGCCCUUGCCUGCGGCAUGCGUGCGCAAGACCUGGCCAACAACCUGUGGGCGCUAGAGGUCCUUGGCUGCACCGGACCGGCGUUUCGGGCAGUGCUGGAGACGCUGUGUGGUGCGGCGCUGCGGCGGCUCCGGACACCGAAGGAAGCUGCAGCGUUCAUUCCGCAGCACCUGUCCAACAUCCUGCUGGCGCUUGAGGGGCUGCAGCUGCGAGGCAUGCAGGCAGAGCUGCUGACGGCAGCUGUUGCUGCAGAGUGCGUGCGGCGGCUAGGGACACCGAAGGAAGCUACAGCGUUCAUUCCGCAGGAGCUGUCCAACAUCCUGCUGGCGCUGGAAGGUCUGAAGCUGCGAGGCAAGCAGUCCGAGCUGCUGGCGGCGGCAGUAGCAGCGGAGGGUGUGCAGCGGGGGUUUGCCGGCUUCAACCCGCAAUGCCUCAGCAACUCGGCGUGGGCCCUGGCCAAGAUGGGGUAUGGGGCCAGUGCAACGUCGCAAGCCACGCAGCAGAGCCAUUGGUACGCGGCCGCGGCGGCAGCAGCUCAGCGGCCCGGGGUCAUGGCCGGCGCCAUGCCGCAGAACUGGGCCAACCUGCUGUACGCGCUUGCGUUGGUGCGCCACCAGCCGCCGCCCGCGCUGCUUGACGCAGGCGCCGCGGCGGUGAUGCAGCGAGGCAAUGCACAAGACUGUGCAAACACGCUUUGGGCUCUGGCGGUGCUGCAGCUGCGUCACGCCGGCUUGGAGGCGGCGGUGUGCGGCCGGCUGGGCGAACUGCUGCGGCUGGAGCCGGAGUCGCUUGUUGCACAGGAGCUUUGCAACAGCUUGUGGGCGCUGGCGGUGCUGGCAGGCGGCGGUGGCCCUGCUAGCCCGGCUGCAGCCACGCUGGCCUCGGCGCUUGCUCGUGAGGCCGCGCGGCGUCGUGAGGAGUUUCAGACCGAGGCGCUAAGUCAGCUCUGGCAGGCGCAACAUGCGUUGGGCGGCGAGGUGACAGAGGCUCUUGCCCGCAGCCCCGACCUGCUAGCCGCGAUGGAGGCGGCGGUGGCUGCCGAACGGGCGACAACGUCGAACACCAGCAGUACGCAGAAGCAGGUGGCAGAGGCGCUUCAGCGCCUGCUGCAGAAGGAUCUCCUGCCCAUUGUGUCCGUGCAGACGGAGGCGGCGGUGGAGGGCGUGCUGGGGCGUGUGGACAUUGUGGCGGACUGGAGCGAUGGGCGCAGAGUGGCCAUUGAGGUGGACGGGCCGGACCACUUUCUCACCAAUCGGAAGGACGACCCAUCCGCGGUAGACGGUUCGACGGUCCUACGCAACCGGCAGCUGCGGUGGGCGUUUGGGGAGGGUGGCCUGCUGUGUGUGCCUUACUGGGAGUGGGACAGGCGGAAGACUUAUUCCGCUCAGCAGGCCUACCUGCUGCAGCAGCUGCAGGAUCUGCUAUCGGGCGCUUCGUCAGGAGCAGCAUCAGCAGGGGAAGGCAGCGCCGCCACCCCUCGCCGCAAGCAGCAGCGGACGACUCCGCCGCAGCCGGAUACUGCCGGCCGCAGCAGCAGCACCACCAACACCACCAGCACCAGCGCCAGCACCACCGCUGGCAGCAGCCAGAAGAAGCGCGUCCUCGUUGUUGUCCGCAGGAAGGCGCCAAAGCAGGAAGCGGUCGGCGGCGGCGGUGGGGCCGGAGGGGCCUCGGAUGCAACAGUAGAUGCAGCGACGGUACCGGCGGAGGCUGAGGUGGCGGCCCCUGCCCGGCAGCAACAAGCGGAGGAGUCGCAGCGGCUUCCCAUCAGUGGCGCUGGUGGCGGUGCUGGCGAGGACGGAGGAGACGGAGCUCCUCUGGCGCCGCAGCCACCACCACCGCAGCAGCGGCCGCGCGUGUCAGCGCCCCGGGCGCGCCGCAGCAGCAGCCAAAGCCACAGCAGCAGCAGCAGCAGCCAGGCGGGCUCGCCUCCUCCUCCUUCGGUUGAGGCCCCGCCGCCGGAGCAGGUGCAGGCGGCAGCGCCACCCAGGCGGGCCGCGGGUGGGAAGCGGACUGAGCGAAAAGCAGCGGCGGCUCCGGCAGCAGGUGGCGGCGGCGGCGGCGGCAGUGACCCCGGGGCGGUGGUGGUGCCGGCCGCGGUCUCUGAGAAUCAGGUGGCAGUGGUGGCUGGGGAGGAGGGCUCUACGGUAGCAGCUGUAGCAGGUGGUGGUGGUGGUGGUGGUAGUGGCGGGGGCGGGGGCCUACCCGCGGGCAGCAGGCGGAGGCGGGCGGGAGGGACCGGCAGGCGUGCGGCACAGAAGUCUAGCAGCAGUGUGUGAUUGAAAAGUUAGAAGCCGUGGAUGUGGAUAAUGAAUGCGGCACAAACGUGCACACGACUUGUGGUUUGCGCAGCGGUAUCCCUUGUGUCCUUUUCCAACGUACGUGUGUAUGGAAGCAGUGAAUGCAACAUGCUACGGCGCGGCGCGAUGGGCUUUUGGCUUUGUGUGGCGUGUGUUUGGUGCGGUGCCCAGUACGGUAGGCAUAUGUGGUGACGGUCAGGCAGGUGAGCGGCCGUGGGGCCCAGUAGCGGUGGCCAUGCACGGGGUGCAGCGAGGGGCGGGACGUGAAAUGGUGGAGUUAGGGCACACACACCAGCUAGCUACCGUAGUGACACGUGCACACACGGCGCGUCAAAGGCACCAAACUUGAGGCAUGCCGCUUGUGUUUUGUGGGCAGAGGGUAGAGAGCCACGGGUCAGCGGUGGCAAUGGCCGGGGCCCGGGGCGUGUGUGUUGGUGGCGGCUGACGUGGCGAGUACGCGUGACGCUGGGGGACAGGCGGAGGAGAGGGAGAGACCCCUCCGCGUGUAGCAGGCCGUGGAUGGGCCCGGUUGGCAUGAAAUACGAGACGCAGUAUGUGUAUACCGUAUUUGCUUGGUGGGGUUAACACCCAUCACUAUCCUCCUAGUUGUGGAGGCCGUGAGCCUCACCACCAGGUACGUCAUCGGUAUAUCAAACUCGUGCCACAUCUUCCUUGGCCCUGGCCCUCGGCCCUGGCCCCCCUUCAAGUCCAAUCAUAUUCAACAUUUGUGUUGGAUUGAAUGUGGAAUGGGAAACGGGUGCACGCCGGGGGCGGAAUGAGCGGCACUGACAGCCACGGGCAACAGCGGGGCCGUGUAUGUGUGCGUGCGUCGAGGUCGCAUGCGAGCCAACCGGUGGCCGGGCGCCCGGAGCAGGGGGGGGGUAGGAAACAAAGUGCCAGACCCCAUGCCCCGAAAUCCCCCGGGACCCCCCUUGAGGGGACGACCGACCCCCCCCCGGACAAAACCUUGUUGUUUAGGGGUUAAAACCCCUCCGUUUGAUACCAAAGUGGUGCCAAUCGACUCCUCUUGACGAGCACUAUCACUCCGUGCCAUCAGCGGUCCUGUUCUGAGACUUCGGUCACGGGAUCCUAUCCAUUGAAAUCCCCUCGACCCAGACCACCCCGCGCUCAACUCUGUGCCGCGUGACGAAUGGACAAUGUGCAUCGGCAGCCUUGUUAGACGUGAACUCAUGUGCACCAGCGCUAGAGAGCCCAGCCGUGGCAGUGCGCAUAUGUCGAAUGUGGGGACAUGUGCCGACAUGUCCACCCCCGGACGCGCAACUCACCUUCCCACGCUUUGUUUGUGUUUAUUACGGCAUAACAUGCACAUAUGAACCUCGCAGUGCUGCGUUUGGCCCCCAGUUCUGCUUGUGGGGCGCUUCCCGAAAUCCGCCAGGAUGGGCUCCCGAAACCCGGUGGACCCCCAGGGACGACGACCGACCCCCCAACUUUGGCGGCCCAGAACUUCCUCACCAGACACCCCCUGACAAAACUAAAAGCACGUGCAUAAUGCUCUCCUUAAGCUCUGUAAUAUUGAGCAUGGGGUAAGAAACUGAGCUUUCUACCCCCCCCCUGCCCGGAGCGUGAGGAAUGCGCGUCAGCAAAACAUCGACACAACCUGCCAGCUACCGUCGGUACAGUAACAGCGCGCGAACAACGCACCAAUGCCUUGUCCCUUCUUGCUACGCAUUUAUGUGGGCACGGGUGGGAGCCACACACAUCGGGACUACGCUUUCCUGCCCCUUGCCAUGUUCCAUCACGAGCGAGCCAAACAGCGAAUUCAGUCUCACAACUGCAUUCCUCAUCAUACACAUCGUUAUAUGUAAUACCCCUUUGUCCUUGUUUGUCAUUAGCAGAGCUCACGCAAGCUCCAUUUGCCGGCACACCGGACUGGCCCGUUGUUCCUUUCGUCCGAUCAGCUUGUCUAUACUUCCAUGUAUAGUAUCAGCUAGCACUUACUUACUAUAAGGCACUGUGGGCCUCAGCCUGCUGAGCCUAAAAUGUUACAGUCCGGACGCAGCACCGCAGCUAGUAGACAUGGCUUAGGCAGUAGCUAUAAUGCUCCAGCGUCAGCACGCACAUGGCAUAAACUGGGCCCAUGCGGCACACCGCUGACCCAGGGUCGCCCAGCCUCGCGCCGCCCGGACCGCCGGGUGCCUUGGCCCCUCGGCGACCGCCGGCGGUGUGGCCCGCGGCCUGGCGUCCGCAACCAGCGGCCCGGCGGCGGCAGUGCUCAGCGGCGGCGGCCCCCUCCUUGCCGCCACCGCACCUGCUGCCACAGGGUCUGGCGGCGGUCUGCGGCAGCUACUGCCGCUAACCGCCUGGGCCCGUCAAGCCGCGGCAGCGCCCGCCACUGCCGCACCUGCAGCAGCCGGGGCGCGCAGCUGUCUCCUGCAGCCGGGGCGGCGCGCGCAGCAGCAGGUGCUGGCGGCUGCGGGGAGGUAUGGCAGUGGCAGCACCAGUGACAAGAGCAGUGGCAGGAGCAGUGGCAGCAGCAAUAACAACGAUAAGGGCAGAGGCGGACAUGUCGAGGACAGGACGGGCAGGGGCAGGGCAGGCGGAGGCCGUUGGGCCGGCGGCAGGACGGGCGGUGGUGGUAGCAGGAGUGGCGGCGGCGGCGGCAAGGCGCGUGACCCCGCGGAUGACAUGUCCGUGUGUCGGACUCUGGAGGACCUGCAUGACGUCAUUGAUCGGCGGCUGGUGGUGUGGUCAGAGCGGCAAGACGUGAUGACCAUGUCAGCUGCCUUCAACCUGUGUGGCAAGGUGAGAGGUUGGACUAGCUAGCGGGCAUGAACAGGAGGAGGGACAGGGGCAGGGGUCGGAGUUGCCGGGCUUGCCGGUACGCACGUGCGGGCCUUCCUGAUCAUAGUGUGAGCACUGACAACACCAACAACACACGCACCUCCUUGGCACGUAGCACAGGACACGCACAGAUAGACAGGGACGUGUUGCGUGCUGAUGCAACGGUUGAUGGCGUGGAAGUCGUUAUUUGCCGCGCACCGUACUCCUACCAAGGUCCCGUCUCGAUGGGAUUCAAUUGUUGUUUAGGCAUGCGCGCUCCUGUCCCGCGGUUCGGUCCUUGCACUGGCGCGGUACUACGUUCAAUGCCACUGAUUGCCCACCCCUGCAGCUUGAUUCCGCACGCGCUGGCGGGCCGGCCGCCACAGCCGCGGCCCGUGCCGGCAUCGUGGCGGCUCUUGCGCCUGCUCUCCUUCCGCUCGUUCCGCGCAUCCGCCAGCCGGCCGGCUGCAGCAUACCGCUGUUGGCGCUGGCGAAGGCUGGGGCUGCCAUCGACGGGCGUGUGGAGUCACAGCUGGCGCCGGCACUGCUGCAGCGGCUGGCGGAUCCGGUGUUGCUGAAGACUGCCACUCCUCAAAACUUGGCGAACGCGCUGUAUGCCCUGGGCAAGCUGUGGGAGGAGCAGCAGCAGCGGGGCUCGGGCUGGGACCCCACCUCAUCGCCGCACUUGAUAGCGCUGACCGGCGCUGUGGCCUCACGGCUGCGUGCGACGGAGGGGCACGGCUUCAAGCCGCAGCAUGUUUCAAACAGCCUGUGGGCGUGCGCCAAGCUGGAGUACCGAAACUCAGACCUCCUGCUGCCGCUGGCGGAGGCGGCCGC
rnacentral:lncRNA from 1 species